AUACGGAGGGUGCGAGCGUUAAUCGGAAUUACUGGGCGUAAAGGGCACGUAGGCGGCUUAAUAAGUCAGAUGUGAAAGCCCCGGGCUUAACCUGGGAACUGCAUUUGAAACGGUUAGGCUAGAGUUUGAUAGAGGGGAGUGGAAUUUCCGGUGUAGCGGUGAAAUGCGUAGAGAUCGGAAGGAACACCAGUGGCGAAGGCGACUCCCUGGAUUAAAACUGACGCUGAGGUGCGAAAGCGUGGGUAGCAAACAGGAUUAGAAACCCUGGUAGUCC
rnacentral:rRNA from 1 species